rnacentral:lncRNA from 1 species
UGCAGAAGCAACUUCAAAAAUCUAUCUGUUCAAGCAUGAAAAGAAUUAUAAUAAAAUGAAGAAUGAAAAAGAUUGGGUUCUGUGUGACCUCCCCCUAUCACUGCUGGCAGCCAAGAGCACUCCACAGCCUGCAGGAAUGGGCUCUGACACAGUGUGCUUCUGCACGAAAACUGCCUUCCUGCACAUCUCAGCUGAUCAAGAAGAAAGUAUGUCUUUCAAAGAGCAAAAAGCUUCACUGCAAACUGAACAAGGUCUUAGGAGACACAUGAAGCCUUCUGAUAAAUGGAGCGUUUGGGUGAUGAAGAGGUGACUUGAAGACUUCGGAUGCUUCACAUUCCUGCUCCUGGAGCACAGUGAAAUAAAGAUGUGUAGUGUAAAUCCUUCCCUGCUAUGAAGUCUAGCUGUCCCAAUGGCCAUGGAUAGACUUCCUGCAGAUGUAAACCAUGGACACCAUCAGACUGUCCCUCACUCCAACUCUUUCAACAUCCCAUACUGAAUUUCUAACCUUUGCUAGCCAUUGAGAUCAUUUCUUGGCACUGACAGAAUAUUAGUGAUUUCCAUAAUUUUUGAAAAAUAUCUUCUGGAAGAUGGUGAGAAGGCACAGAAGGAGAUAACAACCUUUCCCUAGCAGGGAUCAUCAGAACCGGCAUCAUCUUAAUUUACUGAUAUUUUAUGGAACCUAUGAUUUUUUUUUUCUUGCAAGAUAUUAUGCCAGCCAUCCAGCUCAGAUGCUGAUCUUGAACAUCAUGGACAUGAGAUGACAGCCUCAAUCUUGUGAUUAGGGCUGAUCCUUCUGCUCAGUUCCUG